rnacentral:rRNA from 1 species
AGUGAACGCUGGCGGUAGGCCUAACACAUGCAAGUCGAACGGCAGCACAGUAAGAGCUUGCUCUUACGGGUGGCGAGUGGCGGACGGGUGAGGAAUACAUCGGAAUCUACUUUUUCGUGGGGGAUAACGUAGGGAAACUUACGCUAAUACCGCAUACGACCUACGGGUGAAAGCAGGGGAUCUUCGGACCUUGCGCGAUUGAAUGAGCCGAUGUCGGAUCAGCUAGUUGGCGGGGUAAAGGCCCACCAAGGCGACGAUCCGUAGCUGGUCUGAGAGGAUGAUCAGCCACACUGGAACUGAAACACGGUCCAGACUCCUACGGGAGGCAGCAGUGGGGAAUAUUGGACAAUGGGCGCAAGCCUGAUCCAGCCAUACCGCGUGGGUGAAGAAGGCCUUCGGGUUGUAAAGCCCUUUUGUUGGGAAAGAAAAGCAGCAGGUUAAUACCCCGCUGUUCUGACGGUACCCAAAGAAUAAGCACCGGCUAACUUCGUG